CUCCUGCCUAAAAUAGCACAGCUGAGCUAACUAGUAACAGAGUAAGUUUCUUGAAUCUGAGCCUGCCUGAGUUCAUUCCAUCAAACAUCACACCAGAAUUUUCAAAUCCCUGGAUUCCAAAGUCAUCACAAAAUUGGAAAGAACACUGUAAAAGAAACAGAUUUGGAGAGAAAGCUGUCUUCUCGCUGAAGCAUUUUCUGUGGUAAAUGCUAAUGGGAGGACAGAGACAGCUACGAAGUGAAAGCAAGCAGAUUGAAGCCACUCCGAGAAAAGUAAGGGUGAUUUUAAUUGGUUACUGUUAGUAUAGAAAUAAGAAUCUGAAUAAGGUUUUACUCAGAAACAUUAAAGAAAGUAAGUGGAGGGAAACAAAUUGCUAUUCUGUGUAGAAAAUUAUUUUCCCAAGGGCAUGACAGAUCUCUAGAUAACAAAAUCGGGUAUAAAUGCUAAUACUUAUGAUGAACAGGCAUCCAAGAGUUUUUUGUGCCCACAAGGCAUUGCUGAAACGAUGCCAAUGGCUGUAUUAACCAUGUUCUAGCUUCUGUAAAUUUGAUGCUUUAACUACUGCCCUACAUGCACAUGCCAGGCAUGCAUCCUCUCU
rnacentral:lncRNA from 1 species